UACGUAGGUGGCAAGCGUUGUCCGGAUUUAUUGGGUUUAAAGGGUGCGUAGGCGGUUCCUUAAGUCAGUGGUGAAAUACUUCAGCUCAACUGGAGAGGUGCCAUUGAUACUGGGGAACUUGAGUACUGAUGAGGUAGGCGGAAUGGACGGUGUAGCGGUGAAAUGCUUAGAUAUCGUCCAGAACACCGAUAGCGAAGGCAGCUUACUAAAGAGUAACUGACGCUGAGGCACGAAAGUGUGGGGAUCAAACAGG
rnacentral:rRNA from 1 species